rnacentral:siRNA from 1 species
UGAACGGCACUUGCACAUGGG